CUCUCUGAGCACGCAGGGCAGAAGAGUCUGAAGAGUACAGCCCCACACAGCGUGCUUCUGGGAGAGACUCUGAGAGUCGUGCGCAUCGACUCUCCUGCCUUCCAGCGGCUGGGCUGGAUUCCAGAUCCUGCAAAAGAAUGCAUGCAUGGGGUCCCCACCAUCUAGGCUUCAGGCUAUGUUGAGGUCUUCAAAUGUUCCUGCACUGGAUGGAUUCCUCUUUUGGGGUGAGCAGCUCGCGGUGACCAAGGGGACAAAGAUUCAGCUUGUAUUUCUUGGUCUAAUUCAGUGUAGCAGAAAGCAAGUGAACAAAAAGACAUGAGACAGGAUGCUAUCCUCUCUGGGAGAGGGCCCAGAAGCCUGUGUUCAGGACCCAGAGUUGCUUCAACCUCCAUAUGUGACCACUGACAAAUCCCUCCCACUUGGGCUUUUCCAUUCUCUCUUGAGAUGGACUAUAUGACCUACAUGACUGGCCAACUCCAUUGUCAUUCCUGUCGGAGGCUGUUGAAAUACACAGCAUAUGGAAACUGAUAAUUCAGAUGUCAACCCACCAGAGAAGUGACUCUCUGAUGAAGAUUAAUCCUGUCCACACAAGGCUUGCAAGACCAAUUCUGAAAACUGUGGCUUACUUUUUCUAAAGCAACUUGGUGUCUCCCCAAUACCUGCAUUGUAGUGUGUAAUCUCAUGUAAUGUGUAUCCAUAAUUGCAUGUUCACAUCUCAGUCUUAUGGUCAUGCAUAUCUGGGGGUGGUCAGGAAGAUGACUUUUCAUUUAGUUAUAUAAUUUUGAUAUAUAGAAUGUAUGCUAGGACAUGCUUCAGAACUAGAGCUAUUGUCCCAUGAGGACUGUGGACACUUAAAAGCCUGCUUUGCUCCUUUUGCUCAGACUAACUGCACACAAUAAGCUCACUUUCACCUCAGUGCAAAUUCAAGCUAGACUAAAGGUUUUCUGUAAAUAGAUUAUAAGUUUAAAGCUUUAAUAAUAACUAUGCCCAAGGUCAGAGUCACAGGUGUCUUACCAAGGUUGCUACAUAAAGCACCCUAAGAGAAGCAUGCCAGUUCUUCACUUGCCAAGCCUAGUGACAAUGGACCUCUGUCUCAAAGCAUGUCACUGAGCACUGUGCCUCUACCCGCCCCCCUCAAUCUGGUCACAGUCUUACUCCUGAAACCUUGAAACCAUUGUGUUGCCAUGGUAAAUGGCUCAACUCCUUAUUUGUUUACCCUAGGAAUGUGCUUUUGACUAAUGAGAGGCAAUUUU